CCUACGGGAGGCAGCAGUGAGGACUAUUGGUCCAUGGGCGCGAGCCUGAACCAGCCAAGUAGCGUGAAGGAUGACUGCCCUACGGGUUGUAAACUUCUUUUAUAAAGGCAUACAGUGAGGCACGUGUGCCUUUUUGUAUGUACUUUAUGACUAAGGUUCGGCUAACUCCGUGCCAGCAGCCGCGGUAAUACGGAGGAUCCGAGCGUUAUCCGGAUUUAUUGGUUUUAAAGGGAGCGUAGAUGGGUUGUUAAGUCAGUUGUGAAAGUUUGCGGCUCAACCGUAAAAUUGCAAUUGAUACUGGCAGUCUUGAGUACAGUUGAGGUAGGCGGAAUUCGUGGUGUAGCGGUGAAAUGCUUAGAUAUCACGAAGAACUCCGAUUGCGAAGGCAGCUUACUAAACUGCCACUGACAUUGAUGCUCGAAAGUGUGGGUAUCAAACAGGAUUAGAUACCCGGGUAGUC
rnacentral:rRNA from 1 species